rnacentral:rRNA from 1 species
GCGGGCCUUUUACUANGCAUGUGCUCGAUUCCAUCUAUUUAUNUUCUCUUGUGCACCUUUUGUAGUCUUUUGAAUGAGCCAACCUUCGCUGAAAAUGCGGUUUGGGGGAUUGAGCGUAACAGCACUUCCCCUGCGGUUCACUUCGCAGCAAUGCGGUUUUGGGGGUCUGAGCCUUUAUCGGCACUACCCCUGCUUCAAGGACUAUGUUUUCAUACACCCUAUAAAAGUUAUUAGAAUGYCUUUUAACGAUUGUGCCUAGUCGCAGUCAUUAAACCUAUACAACUUUCAGCAACGGAUCUCUUGGCUCUCCCAUCGAUGAAGAACGCAGCGAAAUGCGAUAAGUAAUGUGAAUUGCAGAAUUCAGUGAAUCAUCGAAUCUUUGAACGCACCUUGCGCCCUUUGGUAUUCCGAAGGGCAUGCCUGUUUGAGUGUCAUUGAAUUAUCAACCGUGCUUGCUUUUACUAGCUCGCUCGGCUUGGAUGUGAGGGCUGCUGGCUUCCUUCAGUGGAUGGUCUGCUCCCUUUAAAUGCAUUAGUGGGAUCUCUUGUGGACCGUCACUUGGUGUGAUAAUUAUCUAUGCCAGUUGACUUUGAAGCAAACUUAUGGGAACCUGCUUAUAACCGUCCUUUGGGACAACUUUUAACAUUUUGACCUCAAAUCAGGUAGGACUACCCGCUGAACUUAAGCAUAUCA